rnacentral:piRNA from 1 species
UAAAGACAGUGUGCUUGCCAUGACGUG